CAGCACCUCAAGUGGUCAGGAUGAUUAUUGGGCCUAAAGCAUCCGUAGCCGGCGCUGUAAGUUUUCGGUUAAAUCUGUACGCUCAACGUACAGGCUGCCGGGAAUACUGCAGCGCUAGGGAGUGGGAGAGGUAGACGGUACUCGGUAGGAAGGGGUAAAAUCCUUUGAUCUAUUGAUGACCACCUGUGUCGAAGGCGGUCUACCAGAACACGUCCGACGGUGAGGGAUGAAAGCUGGGGGAGCAAACCGGAUUAGAUACCCGUGUAGUCC
rnacentral:rRNA from 1 species